UGCAACCCCGAUCCCCGCGGUGGCUCCGAAACCCGACGUGGUUCCGAACCCAGGGGCAGUUCUGAGCCCCGCGGAGCUCCGCACCUCUCGUUGGCUCCGAUUCGCGGUGCAGUUGCGGCCCCCGGGCGGGUUCGCAGCCCGGUUAUCCCGUCCCGCAGCCCCGCUCGGUGCCGGUGGUGCUCACCUGGCCCUGCAGGUGGGAUUGGCCCCGCUGAGAGUCGAGUUCCUUUGGGCUCGACUCUCUAUGUGGAAGGAGCCAACAAUGGCAUAGAAGCAAAAUUACCCCUAAAAAGGGCCAAGGAGAGGCUGAAAAACAGAUGGAAGUGGGAGCUGAGUUGUGUACCAGAUAUCCCUCAGACUGGUGGGAAAGAGAGAAAAUUCAUGCAGACAACGGAAAAAAAUAUUUGUGCAGCUUACAGAGACACAUCCAGGGGGACUGAGCUGUUGCUGGAAGGAACCUCUGACUCCAGCUUGCCUCAUCCAUUCGGGAAGCAGCGUGAGUGCAGCCUAAGCCACCUGGCUUUAGGAAGGAGGGUGCUUUUCUCUGCACCUUCUCUCUGACUCUUAACAGCUUUUAAUAAAAUUCUGGCAACUUGGCACAUCUGAGAAGUUGGCUGCUGCCCAUCAGGGAUGUAUGUCAUGAAUUCUUGUGCUGCAGAUGCCUUUCUGGAAUAAAUCACAUGUGUUUACCUUGGGAACCAGGCACAGGACCCCAGGACUUGAGGUUCAAGUAUUACAAGGCACUAAAGUGACAAGCAGCUCCUUUAA